GAGCUCUGAUGUGGCUGGUCUGUUUCUUCUGGACUGGAGGGGUAGAGUGGGAGCUGGUGGGUGUUGGAGCUGGGGUGUGGCUGGUCUGUAUCUUCUGGACUGGAGGGGGUAGAGUGUGGGCUGGUGGGUGUUGGAGCUGGGGUGUGGCUGGUCUGUGCCGGUGCCGCUGUCAGUGGGAGGCUGCUCUGUGUGCUGGGAGGGAGGUGUGCAGCAGGCAGGGCUGGGGAGGCUUGGCUGGUGUAGGUGUGCUCUUCUGCUGUGUGAUGGCAGGUCAUAUAGUGUUGUUCUAGCUGCUCCUGCAGCCUGUCCUCUGUUCUCUUUCUCUCCUGCAGCCUGUCCUCUGUUCUCUUUCUCUCCUGCAGCCUGUCCUCUGUUCUCUUUCUCUCCUGCAGCCUGUCCUCUGUUCUAUUUCUCUCCUGCAGCUCCUCUCUUAGUGUGGUCAGAUCGUUAUUACUGUUCUGCCUGUGUUUUUGGAGCUCUCUCACUUCUUUUGUUAGAUCAGCCAGCUCUCUCUUGAGUCCAUCUCUCUCUUAGCUGAACCUCGUUCAGCUGUGUUGCAAGGCUGCUGUUCUGCUCUUGCUGUUUACACCUUGGUUAGGAGCUCCUCUAAGGUCUGGAUGUCUGGUUGCUGUUUACACCUUGGUUAGGAGCUCCUCUAAGGUCUGGAUGUCUGGUUGCUGUUUGCUCUCCCUCAGCAGGACCACCUCCCCCUCCAGUCUGGUGAACUCAUCCCUCAUGGCAGCUAUGGUGGUGAGGAGGGCCUGAGCCUGCUCUACACUGAGGGGGUUGCUCUCCUCCUGGGGCGUGUCCUCCACUAUGGUGGGAAGAGAGGUGCUGGAUGUGCUUUUUGGGUGGGGAUAGUAGGGGUGAGGGUGGUGCUGGUGGAGUUUGUCUUGUGGGAGGUCAACCCACUGGUGCUGUCCUUCUCUCUCUGCUCUCUCCUCAAACAGCCUAAGAUUACCUUGCACCAUGACAGUCCCAGUCUUGUAGAGGUUGAUUGUUGUCAUGGUGCUGUCAGGGUUGUCUUUCUCUUUGACUUUCAGCUCCAUCCAUUAC
rnacentral:lncRNA from 1 species